GCACCCGCGGUAAUUCCAGCACCAAUAGCGUAUAUUAAUGCUGCUGCUGUUAAAAAGCUCGUAGUUGGAUCAAGAGUUCGACAGUGCAAGGUGGCCCCGCUUGUUACGAUGGCUCCGGUCACCGUAACGGCGGCGGAUCAACCCCUUGCACCAAACUGUCGUCUCUAACAGACCGAAACGGUUCCCUGUGAGUAGGUUCCUUCACUGGGGCUGAAAGCGCCUACGCAUCAACCAUAUGCUUACGGGACGUCGGUCAAAGUUACUGUGAACAAACCAGCGUGUCCAAAACAGGCUUUCGCCUGAAUGUUCGAGCAUGGAAUAACAAGGGAUCGAUUCUCUCGGUUCUUUUUGUUGGUUUUUAACCCGAGAAGGAGUAAUUCAGGCCACGGUGUCUGGGCUGGGUUCCCCUAGUCUCCGGAUUAGGCCCCAGUUAGGCCGUGUCCUUACGGGAUCAAUAGGGACUGACGGGGUCGUACGUACUUCCACGUCAGAGGUGAAAUUCUUAGAUCGUGGGAAGACGAACUUCUGCGAAAGCAUUCGACAAGAAUGUCUUCAUUAAUCAAGAACGAGAGUGUGGGGAUCGAAGAUGAUCAGAUACCGUCGUAGUCCACUACUGUAAACAAUGCCGUCUCAGGAUUGAGAAGUGAACCUAAUGACUUUCACAGCACUAACCCCUGAAACGAGAAAUCAAAGAUUAUGGGUUCAGGGGGGAGUACAUUCGCAAGGCUGAAACUUAAAGGAAUUGACGGAAUGACACCACAAGGCGUGGAGUAUGCGGCUUAAUUUGACUCAACACGGGGAAUUUUACUAGGUCAGGACAAUGUAAGGAUUGACAGAUUGAGAGCUCUUUCUCGAUCCAUUGUGUGGUGGUGCAUGGCCGCUCCUGGUUGGUGGAGUGAUUUGUCUGGUUGAUUCCGUUAACGAACGAGAUCUCGACCCUUAAAUAGGUGCCCGUGUCGGUUGUAGUUUCGCCUCCGCCUGCUUGCAGGAUUGGAGCGGGACGAGACUGCGGGAAUACUUCUUAAGGGGACUGUGUGCGUCUCUAGCACGCGGAAGAGCGAGCCAAUAGCAGGUCUGUGAUGCUCCUAAAUGUCCUAGGCUGCACGCGCACUACACUGAUGCAAUAAACGAGUCUGAGUGCCUUCUGGCAACCUACCUGGAAGCGGGUGGGAAAUCUUUUGAACUUGCAUCGUGAUGAG
rnacentral:rRNA from 1 species